rnacentral:sRNA from 1 species
AGUUUUUGGAAUUUUUGAAAAUAUAAUUUUAUUUUUCGAGAAAAAAAAAUU